UCCCUGGUGGUCUAGUGGUUAAGACUCCAUGCUUUCACUGCCAAAGGCCUGGGUUCAAUCCCUGGUCGGGGAA
rnacentral:tRNA from 1 species